AGCGAACGCUGGCGGCAGGCCUAACACAUGCAAGUCGAACGAACUCUUCGGAGUUAGUGGCGGACGGGUGAGUAACACGUGGGAACGUGCCUUUUGGUUCGGAAUAACUCAGGGAAACUUGUGCUAAUACCGAAUGUGCCCUUCGGGGGAAAGAUUUAUCGCCAUUAGAGCGGCCCGCGUCUGAUUAGCUAGUUGGUGAGGUAACGGCUCACCAAGGCGACGAUCAGUAGCUGGUCUGGGAGGAUGACCAGCCACACUGGGACUGAGACACGGCCCAGACUCCUACGGGAGGCAGCAGUGGGGAAUCUUGCGCAAUGGGCGAAAGCCUGACGCAGCCAUGCCGCGUGAAUGAUGAAGGUCUUAGGAUUGUAAAAUUCUUUCACCGGGGACGAUAAUGACGGUACCCGGAGAAGAAGCCCCGGCUAACUUCGUG
rnacentral:rRNA from 1 species